rnacentral:misc_RNA from 1 species
GAUUGUAGGAGCACUCGCAAGCGGUUUGUAAGCUGGCAAAUCAAAGUCCAUUGCAUGGACAUCUCUGAGUCCUUCAUCCGCCUUAUAAUAGAGGCCUAUAAGGAGAGAAAGAUGAAUGUUUUAUGUGAUUAUUAGAUAGUUCUUGAUAAAGAAUCUUAAAAACAGUCAUCUUCUGACCACGUCUGAAUAAUUAUCAUCCAGAAAACCCAACCAUCAAAACUGUUUUUUUUUUUAAAGCCUAGUUUUUGUUAUUGGACUUGUCAGAAUUUGAUAACAAAUUUAGAAGAAACAAUGAGUUGAUUUCAGUAAAUAAAAAUUAGAAUAAAAUUAGUAGAAUUGAGAUAACCUGAAGAUGUUUCCCACGCUGCAGCUCACCUUCAGUACCAAAUGAAAUGUUAUUGGCCAAAUAUUUCAGCGGAUCAGCUGAAGGAUCAACAGAAAGUAAACUAGGAAAUUAAAAUCUGUGGGGUGUACACCAGCCUCUCAUCUAGCCUUACCAAAUUUCCCCUUCCCUUCUAUUCUCGGCAU